UACGUAGGUGGCAAGCGUUGUCCGGAAUUAUUGAGCGUAAAGCGCGCGCAGGCGGUUCCUUAAGUCUGAUGUGAAAGCCCCCGGCUCAACCGGGGAGGGUCAUUGGAAACUGGGGAACUUGAGUACUGAAGAGGAAAGCGGAAUUCCACGUGUAGCGGUGAAAUGCGUAGAGAUGUGGAGGAACACCAGUGGCGAAGGCGGCUUUCUGGUCAGUAACUGACGCUGAGGCGCGAAAGCGUGGGGAGCAAACAGG
rnacentral:rRNA from 1 species